UGAGCACUAUAAAGGGACUGCCGGUGAAAAACCGGAGGAAGGUGGGGAUGACGUCAAGUCCUCAUGGCCUUUAUGUCCAGGGCUACACACGUACUACAAUGGCCGGUACAAAGAGUCGCAAACCCGCGAGGGGGAGCCAAUCUCAAAAAGCCGGUCUCAGUUCGGAUUGGAGUCUGCAACUCGACUCCAUGAAGCUGGAAUCGCUAGUAAUCACUGAUCAGCAAGCAGUGGUGAAUACGUUCCCGGGCCUUGUACACACCGCCCGUCACAUCACGAAAGCCCGUUGUACUAGAAGCCGGUGAUUCAACCGCAAGGAGAUAGCCGUCCAAGGUAUGACUGGUGAUUGGGGUGAAGUCGUAACGGGUAGCCGUAA
rnacentral:rRNA from 1 species